CAACUUUUCAUUUCUCAUUUUUCUCUCUUUUCUUUCCUCUUAACUGUUCAUCUUCUUCUUCAAUUUUUCCUUCAAUCCGAUGACUUAGAUUGUUAACAUGGUAUCAGAGCGGGUAUAUUCUGGUUCUACUUGUCGUCAGCGUUCGAUCGGUGUUACCCUCAACGGUUUCCAUCCAUGUUUCUGUUGAUUUUCAGAAAUUAGGGUUUUUCGAUUCGGUUAGUUUUUCUUCCGUAAAUCAUUCAUACUUUUUGUUGUAAAGCUUGUUAUCUAUUGUGUAAACAUCAUAGGAUGUAUUUUGUUGUUGUUUUUGGUUAGAUACUGUGAUAGUCGUUUGUUGUAGUUACGAUCUGUUGAUUUGUUGAGUUUUAAACAUCAUCAGUGGUUAAAAAUGGUGGAAAACGAUGAUGAUUCUACCUCUGCUCCUACUACUUUUGUUCCUAGUCCCACAAACCCUUUAUUCCUUAUGUCAUCUGACGUUCCCAGAGUAUCCUUAGUUACCAACCCAUUCUCAGGGGUCGGUUUUGGGGGAUGGAGGAGAAACGUAAUAGUUUCCUUGUCCGCUAGAAACAAACUAGGUUUCAUCGAUGGUUCUGUGCCUAAACCUCCUGAGAAUUCUCCUCAAUUUAGACAGUGGGAUAGAUGCAACAAUAUGGUCAUUCGUGGCUUACAAAUUCUCUUACUCCUGAGAUAGCAGAGAGUGUCCAAUACUCUGACACUGCUCAGAGUAUUUGGAGUCAACUUAACAACAGAUAUGGGUCAGUUAAUGGUACAAGACUUUUUGAAGUAAAACAACAAUUAGCUUCUACUACUCAGGGCUCCUUAGAUAUAGCAUCUUAUUUCAACAAAUUGAAGAAGUUAUGGGAUGAGUUGAAUUUUAUGAGAUCCUCAAAGGGUACUGCUUUUGCUUGUGGUGUUGCAUGUAGUGCUAGGAUUGAAUUUCAGAAAGAAGAUGAUGAGAAUAAACUACAUCAAUUUCUUAUGGGGCUGAAUGAGACAUACAUAGGUGUUAGGAGUAAUAUCCUUAUGAUGCAACCUCCACCCUCAUUGGACAGUGCAUAUAAUACUCCUUCAGGAUGAGAGUCCACCCUCAUUGGACAGUGCAUAUAAUAUACUCCUUCAGGAUGAGAGGCAGAGACAAGUCACUCAUUCACCUUCCCAAUUCACACUGAUUCCAGUGCUUUUAGCACCCAAUUUAUGAAGAAGCCUUAUGGCACAUAUCCAAACCCUAAACAGUUCAAUCAGAAAAUUAGAUUUGAUACCAACAAAACAGACCUAGUGUGUAGAUACUGCAAGAAACCAGGUCAUUCAAUUGAGAAAUGCUACAAGUUGCAUGGGUUUCCCCCAGAUUUCAAGUUUACCAAAGAUAAAAGGACUGCUGCAAGUGUUGAUGUACAAAAGGGUAUAGAUUCUACUGCAAAUGUUGGGUUGUCCAAUAAGGGUGAAAGUGUUCAAGCUAGUUCUACUUCAGAUUCUGGUAUUCCUGGGUUGACAAAGGAGCAGUAUUCAUAACUCUUGACCCUUCUUCAACAGACUCAAGCCUCUGAAUCUCAGCAUCAAUCCAGUGUGAUGGGUUCUGCAAACUUUGCUGGUACACUUUCUUCUUCUAUCAAACCUUUAAAAGAUGUAUCUUAUGGUGCUUGCAUGUUAACUAGAGUUAGUGCUUGUAUUUGGAUUAUUGAUUCUGGUGCCACUGACCAUAUGACUUCAAAUAAAUCCCUUCUCUUUGACAUCAAACCCCUAGUUAUCCCAUACCUAGUUACCCU
rnacentral:lncRNA from 1 species